rnacentral:rRNA from 1 species
GAUCAUGGCUCAGGACGAACGCUGGCGGCGUGCUUAACACAUGCAAGUCGAACGAAGAGCGAUGGAAGCUUGCUUCUAUCAAUCUUAGUGGCGAACGGGUGAGUAACGCGUAAUCAACCUGCCCUUCGGAGGGGGACAACAGUUGGAAACGACUGCUAAUACCGCAUACGAUCUAAUCUCGGCAUCGAGGAUAGAUGAAAGGUGGCCUCUAUUUAUAAGCUAUCACUGAAGGG